CUUACAGUAAAAUAAAGCGUCUCAGUGAGG
rnacentral:piRNA from 1 species